CACGUAGGGCGCGAGCGUUGUCCGGAAUUAUUGGGCGUAAAGAGCUCGUAGGCGGCGUGUCGCGUCGGAUGUGAAAGCCCGGGGCUUAACUCCGGGUCUGCAUUCGGUACGGGCAUGCUGGAGUUCGGUAGGGGAGACUGGAAUUCCUGGUGGUAGCGGUGGAAAUGCGCAGAUAAUCAGGAGGAACACCGGUGGCGAAGGCGGGUCUCUGGGCCGAUGAC
rnacentral:rRNA from 1 species